GUUAACCAUGGUUAUUGCAAUAAUAGUUAGUAAAAUACGACCUCUUAUAUCUAUUAUGUUUUCUGUACCGAGGAUGUACCGCAGAAUGUACUAUCCAGCAACCCAACCCCGGAGCUGUGAAUCCGCUAAGUACCGUUAAGCCGGAGGUUGACAGCAUAAUGUCGACCAGUACCAGCAGACCACCAUUUAGCAGUCGGGUUGCCUAGCGGCCACAGGACAAGCCCAGGACUAUUAUACAAUGACAUGCGGUGGCUAACCGGCAUCCAAAUCUGCAGUAAAUGAGUUCCCCGUAUCUGUUGGUUCGACAAUGAGGUCUCCGAAACAGCUGUUUUCAUGCACCGUGGCAACCACCGAUACCCAACUGUAUCUGCUAUUUCAACGCGUUCCAACGGGCGUUGAUUUUUAUGAACAAAAUGCCCUGUAUAUGAAUUAUUGCUGGCGAGAUUGUUGUUUUAUGAUCGAGCAGUGCUGGAUUACGAGCACCCGAAAGGUAUUUGACGGAAUGGUUCCAUCAUACCGGAUUGUACUGAAUCAGAGAUAAUGGCCGCUAUAGAGAUUCUGGAGCAAUUAUUUG